rnacentral:rRNA from 1 species
UACGGGGGGGGCAAGCGUUGUUCGGAAUUACUGGGCGUAAAGGGCUCGUAGGCGGCCAACUAAGUCGGAUGUGAAAUCCCCAGGCUCAACUUGGGAACUGCAUCCGAUACUGGAUGGCUUGAAUUCGGGAGAGGGAUGCAGAAUUCCAGGUGUAGCGGUGAAAUGCGUAGAUAUCGAGAGGAACACCAGUGGCGCAAGCGGCUGACUGGCCGAGACCUGACGCUGAGACACGACGGCGUGGGGAGCAAACCGG